rnacentral:piRNA from 1 species
UCAAUAAGGGUAGUAUCCACAGCACUGCU